AGUCCAGCGGUAAGGCCCUUUCGGGGGUACACGAGCGGCGAACGGGUGAGUAACACGUGGGUGACCUGCCCUCAGCUCUGGGAUAAGCCUGGGAAACUGGGUCUAAUACUGGAUAUGACCUCAUGACGCAUGUUGUGGGGUGGAAAGCCUUGUGCGGCUGGGGAUGGGCCCGCGGCCUAUCAGCUUGUUGGUGGGGUGAUGGCCUACCAAGGCGACGACGGGUAGCCGGCCUGAGAGGGCGACCGGCCACACUGGGACUGAGACACGGCCCAGACUCCUACGGGAGGCAGCAGUGGGGAAUCUUGCGCAAUGGGCGAAAGCCUGACGCAGCGACGCCGCGUGAGGGAUGACGGCCUUCGGGUUGUAAACCUCUUUCAGCUCAUAGGAUAGGCCGUUAAAGUGGAUCGGUWRGGGCAGGARGAAGCAUCUGCCAACUAACGUGCCAGCAGACGCGGUAAUACGUAAGGGUGCCAAGCGUUGUCCAGAAUUUAUUCGGGCGUAAAGCAGCUCGUAGGCGGUCUGUCGCGUCGGCUGUGAAAACUCGGGGGCUCAACUCCGAAGCUUGCAGUCGAUACGGGCAGGGCUAGAGUUCGGCAGGGGAGACUGGAAUUCCUGGUGUAGCGGUGAAAUGCGCAGAUAUCASGAGGAACACCGGUGGCGAAGGCGGGUCUCUGGGCCGAUACUGACGCUGAGGAGCGAAAGCGUGGGGAGCGAACAGGAUUAGAUACCCUGGUAGUCCACGCCGUAAACGUUGGGCGCUAGGUGUGGGAUCCCUUCCACGGGCUUCCGUGCCGCAGCUAACGCAUUAAAGCGCCCCCGCCUGGGGGAGUACGGCCGCAAAGCUAAAACUCAAAGGAAUUGACUGGGGGCCCGCACAAGCGGCGGAGCCAUGUGGAUUAAUUCGAUGCAACGCGAAGAACCUUACCUGGGUAUGACAUACACCGGCAAAGGCCGGUUGGGAGACAUGGCCUCCGCAAGGCCGGUGUACAGGUGGUGCAUGGCUGUCGUCAGCUCGUGUCGUGAGAUGUUGGGUUAAGUCCCGCAACGAGCGCAACCCUUGUCUCAUGUUGCCAGCGGGUUAUGCCGGGGACUCAUGGGAGACUGCCGGGGUCAACUCGGAGGAAGGUGGGGACGACGUCAAGUCAUCAUGCCCCUUAUGUCCGGGGCUUCACACAUGCUACUAAUGGCCGGUACAGAGGGUUGCUAAGCCGUGAGGUGGAGCGAAUCCCACAAAGCCGGUCUCAGUUCGGAUCGGGGUCUGCAACUCGACCCCGUGAAGUCGGAGUCGCUAGUAAUCGCAGAUCAGCAAUGCUGCGGUGAAUACGUUCCCGGGCCUUGCACACUCCGCCCGUCACA
rnacentral:rRNA from 1 species